UAAGCAUCACCAUUCAAUAGUUGGAUGUGAACCUGGUCAGGUCUUGAUCGAAGCAGCCAUAAGCAUUGCUUCUAUGUGGGUGGUGAUGCUUAGUG
rnacentral:SRP_RNA from 1 species